UACGAGGGGGGCGAGCGUUGUUCGGAAUUAUUGGGCGUAAAGGGUGCGUAGGCGGUUUGGUAAGUCUGAUGUGAAAUCUAUGGGCUCAACUCAUAGUCUGCAUCGGAAACUGCCGGGCUUGAGUAUGGGAGAGGUGAGUGGAAUUCCUGGUGUAGCGGUGAAAUGCGUAGAUAUCAGGAGGAACACCUGUGGCGAAAGCGGCUCACUGGACCAUAACUGACGCUGAGACGCGAAAGCGUGGGGAGCGAACAGG
rnacentral:rRNA from 1 species